rnacentral:rRNA from 1 species
GACGAACUGUCCUAACGUUGUUCGGAAUCACUGGGCGUAAAGCGCACGUAGGCGGACUCUUAAGUCAGGGGUGAAAUCCUGGAGCUCAACUCCAGAACUGCCUUUGAUACUGGGAGUCUUGAGUUCGGGAGAGGUGAGUGGAACUGCGAGUGUAGAGGUGAAAUUCGUAGAUAUUCGCAAGAACACCAGUGGCGAAGGCGGCUCACUGGCCCGAUACUGACGCUGAGGUGCGAAAGCGUGGGGAGCAAACAGG